rnacentral:lncRNA from 10 species
GAAAACAUGCCUAGGGAGUAUGCCAGCUGUAUUAGUCUUCCAUCUGGAGUCCUUUGAACACAUAACAAAGUACCUGUGGCUUGGUGUUUGUUUGCAGGGGCACCCCAUGCAGAGAUGGGCAUCCUAACCCAUCUCUGGGAUUUUAUCAAGCACUUCCAAGGCUAAGUACUGAAUGGAGGAGAAGACCAGAACUGCCCCCAUAGCAAGGGGGAAGUCCAAGAGAACAUGACUUUGGCCUGUCUUCCAAACAGACUUGCAUGAAGACAGAGUUCUGGGCACUAAGAAACUGAGGGUUGGCUGGAAAGAAAUGGGGUAUUUCUUGAUUAUCCCUGCAACCCUGGAAAAAGGAAAAGUAAUCCUUCAUCUUAUGGGACAACUGAUAGUCCUAGAAGCAGGAGCAGCAAGUGCAACGCUACACAACC